rnacentral:rRNA from 1 species
GGAUUAGUGGCGAACGGGUGAGUAAUAUAUCGGAACGUGCCUUGUAAUGGGGGAUAACUAGUCGAAAGAUUAGCUAAUACCGCAUACGCCCUGAGGGGGAAAGUAGGGGAUCUUCGGACCUUACGUUAUAAGAGCGGCCGAUAUCUGAUUAGCUAGUUGGUGGGGUAAUGGCCUACCAAGGCUUCGAUCAGUAGCUGGUCUGAGAGGACGACCAGCCACACUGGAACUGAGACACGGUCCAGACUCCUACGGUAGGCAGCAGUGGGGAAUUUUGGACAAUGGGCGCAAGCCUGAUCCAGCCAUUCCGCGUGAGUGAAGAAGGCCUUCGGGUUGUAAAGCUCUUUCGCAAGGGAAGAAAACUUACUUUCUAAUAAAGAGUGAGGCUGACGGUACCUUGAUAAGAAGCACCGGCUAACUACGUGCCAGCAGCCGCGGUAAUACGUAGGGUGCGAGCGUUAAUCGGAAUUACUGGGCGUAAAGCGUGCGCAGGCGGUUUGGCAAGUCAGAUGUGAAAUCCCCGAGCUCAACUUGGGAACUGCGUUUGAAACUGCCAGACUAGAAUAUGUCAGAGGGGGGUAGAAUUCCACGUGUAGCAGUGAAAUGCGUAGAGAUGUGGAGGAAUACCAAUGGCGAAGGCAGC